rnacentral:rRNA from 1 species
CCUACGGGGCGCAGCAGUGAGGAAUAUUGGUCAAUGGUCGGGAGACUGAACCAGCCAAGCCGCGUGAGGGAUGAAGGUACAGAGUAUCGUAAACCUCUUUUGUCAGGGAACAAAGGCGGGGACGCGUCCCCGGAUGAGUGUACCUGACUAAGAAGCCCCGGCUAACUACGUGCCAGCAGCCGCGGUAAUACGUAGGGGGCAAGCGUUAUCCGGAUUAACUGGGCGUAAAGGGAGCGCAGGCGGCAUGGUAAGCCUGAUGUGAAAACCCGGGGCCCAACCCCGGGAGGGCAUUGGAAACUGCCAGG